rnacentral:ncRNA from 1 species
UCAUUUUUGAAGACAGCAAAUGGUGUCAUCCCAGUGCCCAGACACUGGGAUCCAGGAAACUUAACUCUACACCAAGUAAAUGUACAAUAAGAACUAGAUUCCAGCGUCACGCGCUGGAAUGACAUCAUUUGCUGUCUUCAAA